rnacentral:lncRNA from 1 species
GUGGGGAGAGGCCGCUUUGGCUUCAAGGGCUGCAGGGGCAGCCCCGCUUCUUCCAAAGGCCCUCCGAGUUUGGUGUCCAGCAGCUGCCGGGAGAGUCCCAGAGUUUCAAAUGCUUCAGAUCUCACCUUAUUAAGGUCUUAGAAACAUCAUCCUUCUCCGAAGUGAUAACCCGUCUACCAAGGAGGGCGUGUAGACAAUGUCAGCUCUCUGACUGACGGGUCCUUGUGAGGGUGAACAAAAGCCACCCAGGCACCUGCUCGUCUCCAGGUGGUGGGCAUGGCCACCAACAAAACCUGCCCCCGCGCUGCUGUCUGGGUGCUAUUUCAGGAAUGACCAGGAACUGGCUGCUCCGAUGGCAGAGCAGGGACCCACCCAGAGAUGCCGUGUCACCCCCAUGGUGAGCUCAUCGACACUUACUGUGCGUGCGGACGGGAGUUUACGACAUCUGUAUCAUACCUCGUUCUCAACCUUUACACUCACUUGAAUAUGAGACUUUAAAAGAAAUGACUUCCCUUUUGAGAGAGUUGAGAAAAGUUCCGAAAAGAACACAGGGGAAGUUGAUGAGACUAUCGGGUGACUCAAUUCCCGGGAAUUAGCUGAGUUUUCCUGGUGGGUCAUCCAUCGUAGGUGCAAAUGCGGUUCCCAAAGUCUUCCUGGCUGAGGUCAGAGCAAAACGUGUGUGUGUGUGUGUGUUUGGCAUUUGACUUCAUUCAAAGUUGCUUUUUGAGAAGAGUUGUGACCCUACAUACAGGGCAUCUUUUGGGCAAGGCUCUGUGAUGAGAUAGGAUGUGACUCAGGCUUCAAUUCUCAUAACAAAACUGUAACGUGGAAACCUCCCUCUGAGUACCUGGAACAUGGGGUUCCCCUCUCAACCAGCGACCUGCGUUCGUCCUCGAGAGCCUGGAGUCUGGAGUCAGACAGCCUGGAGCUGGACACUCACUUCUGCCACAUACCACCGGCAACGUUUAACACGUCUGUUCCUGGGUCUUUUCAUUUGUAAAACGGGUAUAUGAUAGGAUGUACCCACAGGGUGGUGAAGAUUCAGAGCACUUCUGAGAAGAAGACUGCAGGCCUCGAGGGACAGCCAAAGGCGCCACGGCUCAAAAAAGUUGAAAGUAUUCAACUGUGUUCCCUGCGAGACCUGGGAAGUCCUGGGCACACCGGGC